rnacentral:other from 1 species
AUUGCAAUUAACUAAAAUCCCUAUUAGGGAUUAGAC